UACAGAGGUGGCAAGCGUUGUUCGGAAUUACUGGGCGUAAAGGGUGCGUAGGCGGGCAGGUAAGUCCGUGGUGAAAUCUCUGAGCUUAACUCAGAAACUGCCAUGGAUACUAUUUGUCUUGAAUAUUGUGGAGGUAAGCGGAAUAUGUCAUGUAGCGGUGAAAUGCUUAGAUAUGACAUAGAACACCAAUUGCGAAGGCAGCUUACUACACAGUUAUUGACGCUGAGGCACGAAAGCGUGGGGAUCAAACAGG
rnacentral:rRNA from 1 species